rnacentral:lncRNA from 1 species
UGGAGCAAAUGUCGCAUUCAUUUUAUAGUGUCUCUUACUCAAAAUAACUUUAGAGGUCAAGGCUUCGUUAGUGUAAAGUCUUACUCAAUGUGCAAUCGAUAAAGCAGUUUGCGGAUAUUGCAGACCUUGGUGGCUAGUGGUGCCCCCAACACUCAUGUUCGAAAAUUCCCUAAUUACAGGUAAAAAAAUUCCUAAAAAAUUAUAGAUAAUGAUCUCUCGGUUAAAUUUGUUUUUCUAUCUAGUUUGCCUAACUUCAAAUUCUUGGUCCACCACUAGUUUACUACUAUUUGAAGAAAUGAGCUUAAUCGGAAUGUUUGGACAAAAUAUGUUACUCGAAAGGAAGAUGAACCUUUGAGAAGUUAUGAAGCGGACUAAAAUAUGCAUGUAUCAAAUUGCAUCUAAACCACUAAAGAUAGUAGACUCUAUAUAGAUUCCUCACAUCUAACCGUUCAGAUUUAAUAAAUUCAUAAACUGAAUUCACCGAAUAAUUUUGAGGAAUGUUUAGGUCAUUCCUGUACCGUCUAAAUGUGGUUUGGACAAUAUUGUAUGAAGACAAAUGAUUUAAUUUGACCAUUUCGUCAUAUCAAAAGAUCAAGUAUUACUUCUAGAAUAACGAUUUCAAUAUCAAUCCACAUCUCAAGACUUUGGCCGUGCAAAGCGCGGGUCUAUAGACAAAAUUAAGUGCCUAUGUCUUUUCAGAUGUGUCUAGUGCAUGAAUCGCCCAAGCAGAAUGAAAUUCCGACGCUCGAAUUGCUUAUCGUUGCCUACAAAAGCUUCUCCACUGAAAACGAAAUCUACCAAAAAGCAGUAAGAACAAAACAAAAAUAUGGCCCCCUCAUUAUUCUCCCUGUUUUGUACUAUGAUCGUUUUCCUCCCUACAUUUCCAACUUCCGUCGCUAAUUAUCUUGUCUGGCAUUGACUCCUCAUUAAAGGGUCAAUUACUCAUCAAAUAUAAAAUAUAUUAGAUUAUUGUUUUUUUUUGUUGUAAAUAUAAUUCCCAUAAUAUGAUCAAAAUCCUUGCCGUGCAAGAUGUUUGCAUUUCAUCAACUUCGCGUUCACCGUAAGUCGUCAACCCCACCUUGACUUGAAAGUCGCCUCCCAAGUCUUUCUUUGGUUGAGAAUCUGGGGCGGACGCAUCGAUUUGCACGCCACGCACGUCUUUUUCAAUGUAAUCUUGAACAAAAAUACCAGUACCCUAUUUGUUUGUGUAUAUCUAUUGGUCAAAAACAGAAGUUAAGGUUUAGCAAUUUUUUUUUGUACCUCACCUCCUAAUCUAAGUUUCGGCUUUGCAGCUUGACUUUUGAGUUCUACCUACAAAACCCACAACGAUCCCUUCUACGUAACAUUCUUUUUUUGUAAUUUAGUGGUGAAGUGGUAUCCAAAGCUGCUUUCGUGCACUUCAAUUAGUUCAUUUUCUUGGGAGAUCUUAAGGACACACUCCAUCAUAUCGACCUAAUAGAAGGGAUUUUAUUUCUAGAGUGCUGCCAAUAAGGCUUGAACUCAAGUCUAUAAGUUAAGUAGAAAACUUCUGACAAUCUAAACCGACACCUUGGUGGUUUUGUGUAGCAAUUACAACUGUACCAACUAAAUAGAAGAUAUGACAAAAAUCAAAUACGUAUUGUAUUCAAUAAUUUUAUGGAUCAUGCGUGAUUAGUACAAUCAUAUGUUAAAACAUUAGCUUUUUGAAAGAAAAAAAAAACUGUAGAAUGACUCUUGCUUAUCAAUUCAAAGUGACAAAAGUCUUUUUGUGGGUCUUUCAAUUUUGGCCUAUUUGUGGAAAAAUAAAUGAGAUUCCAUUUUAAUGGACCAGCCAUGCAAUCAUGAUUGCACCCAAACCAUCAAUCACAACAUGAGAGCUCGCUUUAGAAUUUCUACCUUGUGGAUGUGUGACCAUUUAUUUCCUUUUUUUUUUUUUUUUGCAAAAACAAAUAAAAAUGCCCUAGUUUGCUUAUGAACAUCAACAUCAUUUUCAAAAAAGAAAGGCAGAGAGAGGCACUAUGUUGAGUAUUUUCAGAUUAGCCCAAGAGUAACGUCCCAUGGCGGACUUAUGAAUUCUAUUGAUGAACCCAUCUCCCAACACUAUUGUAUGGCAGGACAUUCACAGUAUACUUGAUCUUAAUUGUCACAUUGUCAACCCUUAGUCUCUCACGUGUAUUAUUGAUAUCCUUUAUUAGAAGAUACUGUGCUGGCGAAACAAUGAAUCAUCGACAAAUCUGCGGCUAGACCAAUUAAAUGUGUCUCAUUUAAUUUACACUCAAAAUGCUUAGAAUUUUCAUUUGUUAUGUUUGGUGAUAUCUCAAGUGAGCUUUCGUGCGCAUAGUAAAUUGACCACUUUGACAUGAUAAAAAAAAAAAUAGGCCACCAGCACUAAAUCUUAUAACUCAUCAAGGACUACCUACGUCUUGUUAUUUUUAGCCUUAUAAUUAGAUUGAUCAAAUUGUAAAGUUUAGGACUAUAUUGACUACUAUACAAUAACUUUAUGAUUUUUUGACCCAAUUUUCUCCACUAAAUUGACUGUUGUACAAUAAAUUUAUGAUUUUUUAAUCCAAUUUUCUCCACAGAAUUAUUCCACGAUGUAAUUUCUCCAAGAAAGCUAAAAUUUGACAAUCUCAAAUACUCUUUUGUCGCUUUUCCAUCAUCAUAUAUCUAUGAGCACAUGUCAAUGCAUUUCAGAUAAUCAUAAACAUUGAACACCAUUCAAUCUUCCACGUCCUUCCUUCACCAAUUCACUAAUCCAUUAUCACAUCAUCAAGAAUUGAACUAACCAAUUCAAGUUGUAUCUCUCGGAACUCUACUCAAAGCGUCAUGUGUGAUAGUUUUAGAUAUUACGCUUAGAUGGAUUCUUGGAGUAUCAUGCUCCAUCUAUUGAAAAAUAUUCAUUUAUGCAUCACCAAAAUCAAUACGUAUAUUCUACUUAUUUUGGGAUAUAUGAAGGGCUAUCUCCCUAAUCCCGAGCAUUUUCACUGUCCAAACCUCUUAAGUUUUUUAUGGAAUGUUACCCAAAAGGUGUUCAAUAAGAUUUGGAAUAGAGGAAUAAAUAACAAACCAUAGAUACAUAUAAGAUUCAUUGUCAAGCGAUGUGAGAUAAUGAAAGUCCAAUCCAAAAACUCAAGUCAUUAAUUAGAGAGAGAUCGCAUUUAUAUAAAGAGCAAUGACAUUGCUCUAAUAGAAAACAUACAAGAGAAUAAUAUUAUUAUGCCACCCUCAGUACUGCCUAUACUUUCUACUUGGGUCAUUUUGAUCGUGAUGUUUCACUUUUCAUACUCACUUUGCUAAGCCAAAAUUUCAUGUCAAAGAAAGCUUAGCCUUGGUGCUAUUCAAAGGGGCAUUUUAGAACCAACAUAGCAUAUUCUUCUUGUGUUUAUCUGAAGCUCGAAUCGAGGUCAUCGACGAUAGGUAAUGGAGACUGUUGCUUAUGGGACGGUGUGGACUAAGAUGAAUUCACCGGUCACAUCACUUGCUUCGGUCACAUCACUUUCUUUGACCUCAGUAGUAAGUUAACUUCUGACAUGGACUUCUUAAUCGUUCCGCAUGGAAUUGCUUAAUCUUGCUUACCACAACUUCAAUCCCUACCCAACGCCGUAGGGCAAGGGGAAAAUGGGGUCGUUAUGUCAUUAUUGCACACUUUAGUCAACAUAAAUAAUCAACAUGAGAGAAAUAAAUGAAAAAAUCACAUCAAUAUUUUUCAUUAUCUAAAUUGGAUGGAGUUGAUGAAAGGAUUUGAAUUCAUCAAUAUGAAAUAAGACUUCAUUGUACUUUUUGAGAGUUUUAAAUUUCAAUUGUACCCUCAAGAUAACUUUUUGGACUUCUUUUCAGACUUCCCAUACACUUAAUUCCUUUUUUUCAGCAUCUAGCUAUCUGUAUUAUAUUGCUUGAUAGAAUGAAAGUUACAUGUUUUCCACCGUUUCGUAAUAUCAUUGAAACAUGUUAAUGUUGUUAAAUACUGAGUACCAUUGAUAAGAGAGUAAGAAUUCAUCAACAUCUGACAUAUGCAAGCACUGUGGUGCUAAUGCACUUCGUUUUUCUCGUCUCUUUCAUCCAAAGCGUGGAGUCCACGGAGAUGGCCUAUACGUGCCAAAAACGCAACGCAAUUAUGCAAAAGACUUUGACAUGUCAACCCGGAUUAGGUGAUGCCUAGUGGGACUGCGAAUACGGAAAGAAAAGCUAGAGGGAUGAGACCAAAUCUUCAAAAGAAGUCAUUGCAAGAUGAACUCAUCUAUAGGCCACUAUCAGUGAUCCCAACGUGUUCGUCGAAUCAAAGUUCCAGUCUUCACGUUGUAAGACUAUAUUUUAAGCAAGUUCCCUCAAAAAAAGGGAAAAAGAAGAAGAUGAUGCAAGAGCCUUGAUAUGUGAUUGAGUGGUCCAACACGUGGUAAGCACGGAGCAGAUGUCGCAUUCGUUUUUGUCUCUUACUCAAAGUAACUUUAGAGGCCAAGGCUUCCUUGGUGUAAAGUCUUACUCAAUGUGCAAUCAAUAAAGCAGUUUGCAGAUAUCACAGACCUUGGUGGCCAGUGGUGGCCCCGACCCUAAUGUCCGAAAAUUCCCUAAUUAUAGGUAAAAAAUUCCCAAAAAAUUAUAUGGUGAAAUUUUUUUAUUUUUUUAUCUAGUUUGCCUAACCUCUAAUUCUUUGUCUGCCACUAGUUUACUACUGCUUGAAGAAAUAAGCUAAAUUGCAAUGUUCGGACAGAAUAUGUUACUUGAAAGGACGAUGAACUUUUGAGAAGUUAUGAAGCGGACUAAAACAUGCAUGUAUCAAGUUGCAUCUAAACCACUAAAGAUAGUAGACUCCAUACAGAACCCUCACAUCUAACAGUUCAGAUUUAAUAAAUUCAUAUACUGAAUUCACCAAAUAAUUUUGAGGAAUGUUUAGGUUAUUCCUGUACUAUCUAAACAUGGUUUGGGCAACAUUGUGUGCAGACAAAUGAUUUAGUAUCACCAUUUCGUCAUAUCAACAUAUCAAGUAUUACUUCUAGAAUAAUGAUUUCAAUAUCAAUCCAUAUCUCAAGAGUUUAGCCGUGCAAAGCACGGGUCCAUAGACAAAAUUUAGUGCCAGUGUCUUUUCAGAUGUGUAUAGGUGGAUGAAUCGCCCAAGCAGAAUGAAAAUUCAACGCUGGAAUUGCUUACCGUUGCCUACAAAAGCUUUUGCAUUGAAAACGAAAUCUACCAAAAAGCAUAAGAACAAAACAAAAAUAUGGCCCCCUCAUUAUUCUCCCUGUUUUGUACUAUGAUCGUUUUCCUCCGUGUUUCCUACUUCGGUCACUAAUUAUCUUGUAUAGCAUUGACUCCUCAUUAAAGGGCGAUUAAUCAUCAAAUGUAAAAUAUAUUUGACUUAUCCUCCCAUAAUUUGACACACGAGUAAAUCAACUAAACAAAUAUCUCGGGAAAAGCUAAAGUACAACAAUCUCAACUCUCAAAUGCUUUCUACGGCAGUCCAUCACCAUAUAUUUACGAGUACAUGUGACUGUUGUUUCACAUGCUCAUAAACGCCGAACACCCUUUAUCUUCCAAGUCGUUCCUUGACUUAGUUUUAGCCAUCUCAUAAUAAAUAAAUCGAUCGAUUCCAGUUCUUUUUUUCAUUUGGGCACCCCGGCCGACAGAUGUAAAGGGACAAUUGCCAGUUUCCCAUUACGAGACCGGGCCUGGGAUUCGAUUAGGCGGCCCAAUCGCGGGCUGAAGGCCCAUUACGUAGCGGGCCCAUUUCUCUCCGGAUUCCAGCCCCUCCCCUCGCCCAAGAAAGCACGUCGACCUUCGUCUUGGCGUCGCUUGCUCAUCGUGCUCGUGGCUCGUGCUGACGUGUAUUUUCUAGUAAAAAAGGAAAAAUGCGGGUCGAGUUUCCAGCAGAAUUCGAACCUGUCUCGAAGUUCACCUGAGCUUAGCGCAACACCUUCUCUUCCGCUCCCUCAAUUCCCCCCACCUUCUCUUCUUCUGUUCGAUCUUAUCCGUCUCUCUCGACGAUGGCAGCUUCCAGCUCCGGCGGUUCAAUCCUAGUGUCCGGCAAUGCUCAUAGAUCCCGCUUGCAUGAUGCGAUUUCUCCGAAUCUCUGUCUCCUCUCCCGUCCGUGUCAUUUCUCGCCUCUUGAAUUUCUCUUGCUUUGGGAUUUGCAGAGGCCGUUCAGCUCCGGUCCGGGUCACUUUUCAUUGAUGUUGUAUGGUGUAAUAUACUAAAUUAAGGACACUACAAAUGCUACAAUUUUUGUAUGGUGCUCACCUGAGUGUCAUUUUUCUUUUUUAAUCACUUGAGUGCCAUAAUUUUAGUACAACACUUACUUGUGAGCGGUUACUUUUUUUCCAAUCUCUUGAAUAUCAUAUAACUUUUUAAUUGAUCACUUAAAUGUCAUAAUUUUUUUUAAAUGUUUACCAAGUGUCAUGCCAUUUCGGAUUUUCGACAAUUGGGUAAACUUUUUUUAAAAGUUUUGGCUAGUGAUCGAUUGAAAGUUAUGGCACUUAAACUGAAUGUUUUUGUUAGAAAUAAUGACAAUGAAAAUAAAACGUUAGGGGACUCAAGUGAAAACAGUACAAAAAUUAUAACACUUGUAAUGUUCUUAAUUCCAAGUUUGUGAGUUUAGAUUCAAUAUAUCUCACUCUUGUCAUUAAAUAAUACUUAAAUUUCAAAAAACAAAAUUUGAAAGCAAAGGUCUUUUCUAAAAUCUUAUAGACCAUUGCCUAUUUUCUUAGUAAUUCCUACUUCUAAAUAUAUUUGGUGAGUUCAGAUUCAAUCUAGCUCACUCAUGUCAUUAAUCGAUAUGAAUAGUACCCUUUUGACUCUCCUCUUUUUACUUAUUUUUUCACCAUUCUUAUUAAAAAGAUCUAAAAACUGUUCUCUCCUCUCUUUAAGUCAGAAGUAAUCAUACUCUUUUGCUUGAGUCAAGCUUUUCAAGUCAUUAGUGCAUAGACCAAUAAAGAAACUUUGAAAGUGUGGAAAUAAAUGCAAACAUAAAUAAUGGGUUGAGUCCAUGUACUUCUCAAGUUAGGGCUUAAAAUAUAUCCACUCAGUCACAUAAAGCUUUUAUAUAUUUUGUUGACACAUGAACUUUAACUACCCCACUCAAUUCUUCGCCACAUUGAAAAUAAGAUGUUGACCCCAAUUCCAAAAUAAAAAUACUACUUGCAUAAUUCACAUUUACCAUUUAUUUAUGUCAUGAACCAUAUCCGAGUCACAUGGCUCUUAGAUGAGGUUAUCAUGAAUGGUUGCGCACCUGAACGAAGUGUUAUAGCCAACCAUAUAAAAAAAAUAAAAAAUUACUCUUAUGGAUUGUCCUUAGCCAAAUCAAUUUAACAUCAACAUCCAAGUCUUAAACAAGGACCAAGUCUUAAACGAUAAGAACAGAUGAAGACAAACCGCAAUAAAUUAGUGGGGCAACUUGCUAGUUUUCUUGUUAGAUGUAACAUCAAAGUCCCACAAAAUUCAAUUUUGAUCGGCCCGCAAUAAAACCGCUUCUAUGAUAGUUGAUUUCCAUUAACGCUUUGACUUACUUGAAUAGAUAUUUCCACUGCAAUUGCCGGUCAUGACUUUUAACAAAAGAACGGACAACACUGAUGGGCCUCAGCCUCCAAUUCCCAAAAUCCAGAUUUAAUUAGUAAAAUCCAUCAGCAAAUUAAGGGAAAAUUUCAAAUAAGGACCCAAAGUGAGCCUAUUUUCUCAAAUAAGGACUCAAAAUGGCUAACAAGUCUCAAAUAAAAACCUGAACUUGCCGACUGGCCAAAAUGUUCACUAGCCAAUGAGAGUGUGACAUUUCCGAUGGCCGGAAUAUGGGCAAUUUUGUCAAAAAAAAUAUAUAGAUAGAAAUUUACAAACCCUAAAAACCACCCUCCAAACUCUUCACGUUAUUUUUGACCUAAAAAGAAAAACUCUUCAUGUUCUCACUUUUUUCUUCUUUUGCUCUUGAUCUUCUCUGUUCUUUGUCCUCUCUCAGUUGGAGCAUGGAAAUAUUUUGUUAGUGAAACACAAAUUGAAACACAACAAGAAACCCCUACCUUCGUUUCUUCACAUCUUAUUCUUUUGUUUUCUGUCUCCGUUUCUUUCUAACGAAGAAGAAAAAUCUUGAGUAAAGCCACCUUUUUCAUUAUUGAGACACUCGUGUGUAACAUGAGGGCCUCGAUUCUUCAUUAUCUUUUCCUAGGUUUGCCAUACAUUUUGAGUCACACUCCCGUUCAACCGAGGUCAGUUUCGUUCAAAUUGAGAGAGAGAGAGAGAGAGAGAGAGAGAGAGAGAGAGGGGGGGGGGGAGGGAGGGAGGGCACGUACCUUUGGAACUCAUGAGAGAAUUUGGUUUCUCCAAAUGAGAGGGGACAGAGAAUGUAAAAGAUGAAGAGCGGAAGAAGAAGAACAUGAAGAGUUUGAGGGUUUUGUUUUUAGGGUUUGUUAAUUUCUAUCUAUAAUUUUUUGGGACAAAAUUGCCCAUAUUCCAGCCACUGGAAAUGUCACACGCUUGCCGGCUAGUGAACAUUUUGGCCGGCCGGUGGGUUCAAGUCCUUAUUUGAGACUUGUUAGUCACUUCGGGUCCUUAUUUGGAACAAUGAUCACUUCGAGUCCUUAUUUGAGAAAGUAGGUUCACUUUGGGUCUUUAUUUGAGAUUUUCCUGCAAAUUAAUAGAAAUAAUUUUUUUUCUUCAAAUUACUAAUAUGUCUUUGAUGUUGAUCUACCCAAAUAUCUUUGGGAGAUUUUCGUUUGAAAAAUGUUAGUACCCCUAAGGCACUCGUCAAUAGUCAUUAAUUGUGCUUUGAUAAUAUUAACAUUACGAUAUGUUCGUAAUGGAUGCAAUUGAAAUGCACACCCGAAACAUAGCUAAAUUAUAUUGCAGUCUUCGACACUAUCAACAUGAUAAACCUCACUAAAAAAUUUCCACAAAUUCCAUUCCCAACAGCAGUCUAAUAUCUGCAUGCCGAGAGACGUCAAAAGAAACAAAAUAAUUCGAACUCAGGAAAAAAAAUGUCAAAAUACAGAUGGAACUCUCAAAAACCAAGGUCGUCUGAAAAUUGACUGCGUUAAAUACUCAUUAAAAACAUGCUUUUAACCAAAAAAUGAACCGGCCUCACUACUUAUCUUCCUUCUCGGCAUCAGCGGCCUUUUUCAUCCUCGCGCCCAUGUGACGUUUGUUCAAGCGCUCCACUCGAAGCUUGGCAUAUGCGUUGAAUGAUUUCAUCUCAUCUGUGACCUCCACAAGUUCCACCGCUGGCUUCUCUCUUACAAUGGGCAGGUAAGUUCCUUGGACUUGAGUUGCAUUUGCAAGCUCUUCUGGAGUAGAAUCACCAGCCUGCAUGGAGAAGGAAGAUGAGAUGUUUUCAACAAGAACAAGGAUCGCACAAUAUUGAUAUGAAUUUUGUAAGUAGUCAAUUUACCUUGAAUUUCCGUGCGCGUCUUGGGAAGACAACUAGCUUCGCUUUGUAUGUCUUCAGCCUCUGCACAUUUGCAUGUAGACCUUCCAGUGACUGAUUGGCGAUGAUCAACUGCAAUUCCAAUUGUUGGAGCUAAUUUCUUCGGGAUACCUGCUGCCUGAGACGUGCAAAAUGCAAGUUAAGCACGAGGCUUGCACCGGAUGCUGAAAACUGUAAAAGGAUAUCCUUGAAGGAAAGAGCAAUCAGGGAAGGCGUUUUCGUUAUCAUAAAAAUACUAGCUAUAGUAAUUCCAAACCUUUGUGAAAAAAGCAUGUUUAGUAAAAAUGAAAACAUGCCAACUUAACAGACAGAAUAAGGAUGAAACAAUGAAAAGGCUAAAAAAAAAGCGCCACGUUCCAUUUAAAGAGCUAAAUGAAGCGAAGGACGCAAGUCUACGUGGAACCUGCCACUCCAAUAGCCGAAUGUGACUUUGACCACAGCUAGGAGUAAUAUACCAGUAAAACAACACGGGCAUUAACAAUGCUUCAUAUGCAAAAAUGUGGUGAAAAUAAUGCUGGCGGUCUGAGGGGACCUGCUGUUGGCCGUGGGAAAAUCUUCACAGCAUUCUUUUGCCGAGCUGGGCACAAAAUAAAGAGCAUCAGAAUGCUCUGAUAAUAAGAAUGGCAACCAAUGAUUUCACUUCGAUAGCUAGGUAAGUAGUUGAAUAACCUAGGCGCCUUCUAGCCUUUCUCGCAGGCUGGUUAAACCAGGUCUCGACGUAAUUUUGCCAGUGCUUUCUGAAGUGCCCAUUUGGCACAACAUUGUUAUGUUUAACCAUGACUUACCUAAAAAGAAAAAGAAAAAAAAAGACAAAGUUUUUAAGGUUGAGAUGGACCUGAGAUGUGGAUAUAUCUUAUCAGCAAAAGCUAUCAGACAGUCAAUACAUGACAGAUUGUGAUCCAAACACAUUAACGAAAAGUACAGCAAAUUUGUUAUACAACUUUAUAGUUGUAUAUACAGAAAUUAACAGCAAGAAGAAGACACUAAUGAGAUUAUACAACCUUAUAGUUGUAUAUACAGAAAUUAACAGCAAGAAGAAGAACAAAAAUAGUUAAAAGAUGUAUAUACAGAAAUUAACAGCAAGAAGAAGACACUAAUGAGAUUAUACAACCUUAGAGCUCGAGAGUGUUUGUUUUGUGGAAAAUGAUUAGUUUGAAAAUUAUUUUCUUAAAAAUGAUCGCUUGUAUUGCUAAUAAAAAAAAUAAACAAAAAAUAUUUUAUUAUUCACGAAAAUGUUUAGAUUUAAAUUGUUAUAGGUAAUGAAAAUAGUUUUCAUUGACUAAUUAUUUUAAGCGAUACAAGUAAUUAUGUUUAAGAAAAUCUUUUUCCAAAUCAUUAAUUUUUUGCUAGAAAAAAAUGGAGCCUUAAUUAUAGUUAAAUUUUGUGAGUGCUAACCAUAGAAUUAGAUGAAUCAACAUGGAAGGAAAAAAAAAAGAUGAAUAGAAGGUCUAGAAUAACGGAAGAUAUAUAAAGGCCUACUAGAGAAUGAAGCAAGAUGAAUAUGUUGAAAGAAAAAUUGAGCAAAUAGAGUGGAAAUUGGAGCUCAAAUUCUCCCGCCGGCUUGACCAUUAAUUCCGAUCAUGUUAUAUUCUUUUCACAUCUUUGCACAGAAGAAAGUGGAUCAAACUUGAGAGAGGAAAAAAAAAGUCAAUAGAUUAAUCACUAACAGCACUUACCAACAAGGUACAUCAAGAUUUGACUUUAGGGUUCAUAUUUGUUGACUUUGAUAAUGGACGAGUUUAUCAAGAUCGAGGGCUCUAUUGUCAAGUAACAUUUUUCUAGAUGAUCUUACUAACAGGAAAAGGGCCAGUGACCUUCCUACAAGUUAACUUUUUCAUCACUUUAUCUUAAGGGUCAAGAUUUGAACCAUGGAUCUCUUCUACUUUAAAGAGGAAAUAUAUAGUUAGGAUAUAUCCGAUGUUUAUAGAUGGAAUCCCAACAUAGAGUAAAGUUGAAGCUUUUCUUCUGUUUUAAGGGUUCCUAGUUGAGUUGGGGAGAUAUUGUGCUUUGAAUAUAAACUUCGUAAAGCUAAACAUUCUUAGGAACUAUGAGAAUCAAAGAUAUCCAAAAGUAAUGGAACUGAGCAAUUCCGAUUUAUUGAAAUCCUCAUUUUGCAGUUGAUGAUGAAUAUCUCAACUACAUGAAUGACACAAUGCAUGCAAUGAUAACAAGGUAGGUGAAGUACCAACAUGCGCACAUGAUGUUUGGGAAGAAAACGUCAAGUUCUAUGUAGGAAUUUUAGAAAAGACAAUUAAUAAUAAGUGUAUUCAAGAAACAGCUCUAGUGAUGUCAAUGGAGUCUAAGAUUGAGACUGUUAUGAUAUGUGGAAUGAUGACUGUAGACCACCUAAUGAGAAGAUACAGGUUUGUGAUGGGUUAACGAGGAAAAGAGGAGUAAAAAGGAAAAUAUAGACAUAGGUUUUAUGGAAAAAUCUUGAGUUUGUUCGUCUUAUUCAAGACUACAAUACUAAAUUGAGGUCUAGGAAGAGGGUAAAAACUUGUUAUCCUUCAAACUUUCGGUAGCAUUGUUGAGAUAUAUUAGACAGAAAGAAAUCAUAGCAAAAACAGAACUAAGUUUUUAUUUGACCGGACAUAACUCGAAAGCAAGCACCUAAAUACAUAAUUUUCGAAGGUGGAAUAAUUUUUCUUAUUUUGAGGUAACUUCUAUGUACAAUUCAUAUCCCAUAUGGCAUAACAUACGUUGAAAGGUUAGUGUUUCAAUUGUAUGAAUUUCUUUGAUCUGGACUCCCCUUGUUUCCAAAGAAAAAUUAACAAAUUCAUGUGAUACAACUAAUGUGGCCCCAAACAGCAAGAGAUACCAUAAAAUCAACAAUCACAAAAUGAGUUGAGUAAUAAAAAGUAUUAGUUGUACAUACAUACUGCCAAAACUCAUACAAACUAGACUUCCAAUAAUGAGAACGGUAAACUAUUUAAGAAUGUGAAAUACCACAUUUACUGGGAGCCUAAUCUGUAAUAAGAAAUCAAAUUGCAGCUUCACUCUCCACACGCUGUGCAAUAAAAGGACUCUAAACUAGUUUUGUUAUUAUUCUGCCCUCGUCUAGUUACAUAAAUUUUUUAGCUAGGACAAUAAAGAGAGACUCAAAAAACACAUAUUGCGUUACAGAUUUAGAAUGAUUAGGAGAUCAGCAGCAACAUAUUGAAUUGACUCUUGCUUUAACUGCCCCUUCACUACCUAAAAUGGAUGCUUCAUCAAAAAUAUAUUUAUAUAAGCUAAUCACUUCUAUGUAACAAUUUUUUUUUUUGGAAUUUAGCAAUGAAGGUGUAUUGGGCCAGCUUUCGCACGCCUCAAUUAAUUCACUUUUCUAGACGAUAUUAAGAGCACGCUCCUACAUAUCGACUGUUGCAUUUUGGAUUUUACUUGUAAAGUGCCUCCAGGAAGGCUUGAUACUCAAGACCACAAGGAGAGGAGAAACCUUUUAAACCAUCUAAAUCAGUUGUUUCUGUGUAGCAAGUACAAGCGCCCAAACUUAUUAAAAAAAUGAUAAUAUUAGACAAGAUAAAGUGAAUAUUAUAUUGAAUAAUUCUGUUGAUAAUGCAUGGUCUGCACAAUAUUAUGUUAAAACGUAUGGUUUUUCAAGAUCCAUGUGUCGAUCACGCUAUUUUCAGAUCUCCGAAUGAUAUCAAAAAAAUACAUCCCAAUGCCUCUUUUCACACAUGGCAUACGAUGUAAGUAUCGCGAACUUCCAUCGAAGCAACCGGCCAUUGCUAUCUAUAAAAGCUUCUCAAUGGCACUUUACCUAGCACGUAUUAACCAACUCCAGCAACGAACAAAAGUCAUGGAAUCCUUACUCUAUGCACUUCUUUUUCGGAUCAUCCUUCUCCUAAUGAUCCAUACUUCACUUGCUAAGCCACUAUGCCAUCCGGAUGAGAGCUCUGCCUUGAUGGAAUUCAAGCGAAGUUUUCGAAUCACCACAGCAGAAUUUCAAUGUGUUUGUCCAACGGUUGAAUCGUGGUUACCAAAUGGACAUGGAGAUUGUUGCUCAUGGGAUGGGGUUGAGUGCAACGAGGCCAGUGGUCACGUGACAGGCCUUGAUCUAAGUAGCAGUUGUCUCCUUGGUAACAUAACUUCCAACACCAGCCUCGUUCGCCUACUUCACUUGGAAUCACUCAAUCUCUCUUUCAACGACUUCAACUCUUCCUCAAUCCCAUACGGUUUUGGCAAUCUUUCCAGGUUACAGUACCUUAAUCUCUCUGGUUCAGAAUUUUCCGGGAAAGUCCCCUCAAAUAUCUCACAGCUCUCGAGAUUAACUUCUCUUGACUUGUCUUCUAAGUGGGCAUCUCUAGAGAUGCCUAGCAUAGAAAACUUUGUUCAAAACUUAACUAUGCUUAGAGAACUUGAUCUCUCUAUUAUAAGCAUGCCAUCACCAUUCCCCCAUAUACUUGCGAACUUCUCUUCUUUGAAGUCGCUUGUAUUGAGAAAUUGUGGAUAGCAUGGAGAAUUUCCAGUAAGCAUCUUUCAAUUACCAAAACUGGAAGUUCUCGACAUCAGUUACAAUGACAAUCUUUCUGGUUUUAUUCCUGAACAACGGUAAUCCCCUGAAAUCGUUGUCUCUUGGGGGCACGAUUUUCUCAAGUUCACUUCCCUCUACGUGGAAGUAAAUUUAUGGGUCAAAUCCCCGCUUCCUUCACUAAUCUCACCAAGCUAUCAUAUCUAGACCUCUCUAAAAAUAAUUUCACAUGUGGUAUUUCUCAUUGGCUUGUCGACUUGCCAAAACUCAACUAUUUGAACCUUUCAGGUAAUAUUCAAUUAGCAAGUUUUUUUUUUUUUUAAGAAAAAGAAAUGGAAACGACAUGAUUCGAUCGCUAGCUAUACUAACAAGUUUUGUCUCUCUACACUUGGCAGUUAAUCAGCUCAAUGGUGCACUUCCAUUUUCAUUUGAGAACCUAACAUAGUUGGUUUGACUUGACCUUUCAUUCAACAACUGGCAAGGUGAAAUUCCAAACUCCUUAUGGGAACUCGAGGAUCUUGAAUAUUUGGCACUUCGACACAAUAAUUUGAGUGGCACUAUGGAUUUAAACAAACUCAAGAACUUGACAACAUUGCUUUUGGACUUCAACAACAUAUCUUUUGUCAGCAACACUGAGGUCAAUGCUACUCUUCCAAAACUUUCGACCUUAAGUUUGGUUUCGUGCAACUUGCAUGAAUUCCCAAGGUUUUUAGGCUACCUAAAUGGAUUGGAGUGGGUAGAUCUGUCAAACAAUAAAAUCAAAGGGAGUAUUCCUACAUGGAUGUGGAAUGGUAGUAAGGAAACAUUGAUGAAUAUGGAUCUUUCUCACAAUUUUCUAACUGACUUUGGGAGCAGCCACAUAAAUCUGCCAAUGCCCCAAUUGACGUAUAUGGAUCUUUCUCACAAUCUACUCACUAGCUUUUUGAACAAGCAAAUCAAUCUAGCAUUGCCCAUGUUGACCUAUCUUGACAUUAGUUCUAACUUGCUCAAAACAACGCUUCCUAGUCCACCUCUGUUAGCAAUAUAUUACAAUAUCUCCAACAACAACCUCUUCGGAGAAAUUCAAUCAAUUUGUAGAGUCAGAUCCCUUGUCAUUCUUGAUUUGUCCAUCAACAGUCUGAAUGGCACAAUUCCUUCAUGUCUAGGAAAUAUUGAUUCUUUGACAAUUUUGAAUCUUGGGAGAAAUAAACUUGAGGGCAUGAUUCCUAACGGUUACCUAAAAGUUUGUGUGUUGAAGAUUAUUGACCUCACAAAUAAUCGAUUGCAAGGGCCUAUCCCAAGAUCUUUGAUAAACUGUCCAAUGCUAGAGUAUUUGAACCUUGGUUACAAUCAAAUUCAUGAUGGGUUCCCUUCAUGGCUAUCGAAAUUGACAAAGUUGAGAGCUAUUAUCUUGAAAUCCAAUAAGUUUUAUGGUCCAAUAGAAACAUAUCAAAGCCAGUUUAACUUUAGCAAUUUGCAUAUCAUGGACCUUUCCAACAAUGCUUUCAUUGGUGAACUUCCAUCUAAGUUGUUGCAGAGUUUCCACGCCAUGAAAGUGAUUGUUAGUCAAGACCAAUUGGAAUAUAUGAAUACUUCUCAAGGGCUCCCUCUGUCCUUGGAAACAUAUGAAAAAAUCAUGGACUAUGAUAUGAAAUUGAUGAGUAAAGGCACGGAGAAUACACAAAGGUUCCAUAUGCCCUUAAGGGAAUUGACCUCUCCAACAACAAAUUUGAAGGAUGCAUACCCGAUUUCAUUGGAGAUUUGAAGUCACUUGUUUUGCUUAACCUUUCCAACAACAUUCUCACUUGUUUCAUUCCGCCUUCCUUGGAAAAUUUGAGAGUUUUUGAAUCUCUAGAUCUUUCUCGAAAUAAGCUCUCAGGAGAGAUCCCACAACAGCUUGCCCAGCUUACAUUUCUUUCAUUUAUCGAUGUCUCUCAUAAUCAAUUGUUUGCACCAAUACCACGAGGGAGUCAGUUCAACACAUUCGGGGCCAGUUCAUUUGCCAUGAAUGAGGGGUUAUGUGGAAGUCCUUUGCCAAAAAAAUGCACAACAAUUGGGGAUGACAUACCAUUACCAACAUCAACACUAGGGGAAAAAAAUGGCGACAAGUCUCUGUUUGACUUGUAUUGGAAAGUUGUGCUAAUCGGUGCUGGAGUUGGCUUUUUGAUUGGUGUUGUGUUAGGGAACUUUAUCAUUGACGAGAAGAGUAGGUGGUUUUUGUACUACUCGCGGAUAAUGGCAAAAGGAUGGAAAACAUCAAGAAGGUGUUGAACAAUAAAGAGUUGCAAAUGCAAUUAGAUUACAUGACACGAAUUAGUAUUAAUCAUCAUGUAUCUAGUUUGUAUUAGACACAGGAAAAACACCAUCGAUGUAUAAAUAAAAUUUCACAUACGUAGUUUCAUCCAUCCUUGUUUUAAAGGGUCGUGACCAUUGGCUCUCUCCGAUCAAUGGUGUGCAAUGCUGCUUGUGUAAAAAAAAAUUAUCCCACUAGUGUAAUUACUUAAAAUAAUUAUAAUAUGAUUUUUAGGAAAGUAAAAUCUCACUUGUUUGAUUCAUGUUGAACGAGUGUUUUCCAUUAGUUAUUAUAUGUAAACGCUAUUUUCUUGUUCGUUAUGUUGCAUUAUUGAUUAUAUUAUAUGAUUUUUAGGAAAAUAAAAGUUCACUUGUUUGAUUAAUAUUGAACGAGUGUUUUCCAUUAGUUAUUAUAUUAAACGUUGUUUUCUUGUUCGUUAUUUAUCCUUCUAUCUGUUUUUCCUAAAAAUCAUAUUAUACAGUCAUAUAAUGCAACAUACAUUGGCAAUCCACGUUCUAAUGUAUGUUGUGUUUAUGUGCCAAGCAGUAUAUAUAUAUAUAUAUAUAUAUAUAUAUAUAUAUAUAUAUAUAUAUAUAUAUAUAUAUAUAUAUAUAUAUAUUUUUUUUUUUUUUUUUUUUUUUUUUGGGUCGGCUUCUUGGCUGUAACAUUAGCUACUUAUACAAUCUAAUUGUGGAAAGCUACUAAAUAUUGGAGCCCGUGGACAUGGUAGAGACAAGAAGAAAAAUAUGAACUCAUUUAUUUGCAAUUUAUUCAUUAAACAAUAAAAAGUGAUGGAUUGUUACUCUUAAACACCAAUUUAUUUGACGAAGAGAUUCCUUAACUUUUCACUUAGAAGAACGAAUGCUACAUUUGGCCGGCUUAGCCGCCGGUAAAAUAAAUAAAAAAUAAAAAUAACAAUUACAGAAAGGUGUGGAUGUGAUAAAAUAUGCUACCCAACAUACUAAUAAAAAUAAAAUAUGCUACCCAACAUACUAAUAAAAAUUAUACCAAAAAGAAAUUGACCUCCUAAUACAUGUUUUGUUUGAAAAGAUGCAAUGAAAAUCCCUUACUAUAUUUUUUAUCAAUUCAAAUUAUCCAAACAUGUUAAAUGGUUUUGCCGGACUCGCUUUCCAAACAUGUUAAAUGGUUUUGCCGGACUCGCUUUCAAAAUGCUAUUCAUUCCCACAGAAAACGAAAUAUGUGAUGAUUUAAGCUUGUUAAAUGCUUUUUCCCCUUGGUUCCAAAUUUCAAUUAUUGAAUUUAAUAAAAAGAACAUGUAAUUAUUUUAGUCAUAGAAACUUGGAUCCUCCUCAUUAAAUUGCCUAUUAACUAAUAAAAUAUCUAAAUAAAAGAAGACUAUUAAUUAAAUCACUUUUAAAUGAAGAUUGUAUAAUUUGUUUCAUUUAUUAAGAAACUCAAGUUUGACCCAAAAGUUCAGGUUCAUCUUUCUCGCGAGACUCUUCCCACUUCUCGAGAGGGAAGAAAGGUCUCUUCAAUUUCUACACGGUGAAAGGAAAUAACAAAAUCAAGGAGCGAAAUAAUAUUGGAUUAGGAAAAGCUGGCAAUUUCUCCAUAGACCAGAGAAAAAAAUUAAGGUUAAAAAACACACAAAUAUAAAGAAUUGAAAAAUGAUUUGUGAGGCUUUUUUUAAAUUUCUUUCCCGAGAAUCAAGAGAAACAUAUACGAAACUCAAAGAGACAAGAUAUCGAUGGAGGAUUUUUCUCUCACGAUAAUAUUUUAUUUUAUUUUUUUGCAAAUUUGACUAAUAAGAGAUUAUUGCAUUAAUUUUUAUACAAGAAAAUCAUAAAAUUAAAAAUAAAUAUUUAGUUGUACCAAUUAAUGGCGAAUUAUAUUUAAAUAUAUUUAAAAAAAAACUCGUCAAAAAUAGUAAAACAGAAGUAAAAUGAGUCAUAUAACCUAAGUUACAUCAAUGAUAAAAAAAAAAAAUGAGGAUGUGUUAAGACUCUUCAAAAUCCAAAGAAACCUUCAAAGUCAACCUCAAAAGCCACUCAAGUUGGUGGUGAUGUUGACAAAGUUGCCGAGUUAAAACACUCGCAAGACGUCCGAUAGGGCCAAUACAUGCGUGCAGAUCACAUAAAAAAUAAUCAUAUAUCGCUACAACUAGUUACAACCAAAUGAUGCAGGUUUUUCAGGAUCGGAAGGAUUUCACCUACCUGCAAAAACCUAUAAUGUAGACGUCCGUUUCAAGAAUUCAAAAUCUAAGAUUUAUUUUGUAGGCUCUCCACUUGAAACCCUCAAUAUCGCGCAAUUUUUUUAUACCGAAUAUUACCUUUUACUUUUAGUUUUUUAUCAAGUUAAAAAUUGGCUAUGAUUUUAUCGAAAACUAACACAUUAAACCCAAAGAUGGCCAGAAAAAAAGAAGUAAUAAAAACAUAAAGGAAUGAAUGUAUCUGGUUUUUUUUUUUUUACUUUUGGCAUGGUCAAUCUCUAUACGAAGGGGAAGGGAGGGCGCCUUUAAGGGAGGGAAGAGGAGAUAGAGUGGGGAUAGAAAUGGGGUUGGAGACUCUAGUUAGCUAAGGCUUCAUGUAUUUAAAUGUAAAAAAUUGAACAUGAGUUAGCAAAUUAAUAAUUACAAAUCACAAUAAUGAACUCGAAUCCUAAAAAUUUCAUUUUGAGUAUUUAAGUCUUAAAACUAGAUACAUUUGAGUCUUUUCAUUAAUUAUGUCAGUCUAAAAUGGACAGAAAAUGUCAAUAUGACUUGUGUCAAUUAUUUUUCCAAUCCUAAGCGUCCUUUGUUAAAAAAAAAAAUUGCAAUGUAACUUUUUCAUCCACUAAAGCCUAAAAGAGCUACACUAUGAGUAGUUUUAUGACGUAAAUGCAUGGAAUGAAAGUAUUAGGACCAAAGAGAACACUUGCAGUAAUUGCCCCAACAGUUAACUACAUUUUACGGAAUAAAAGGAGUACGCCGAAAUUUUUUGGAUCCUAUGACCUUUAUAAUCUAUGCUGAAACUUAUCCAAUCAUGCUAGUUCCCAUAUUCUCUUGUACUUCUCUAGUUGCAACUUGCAAUCGGUCAUUGCAGGCAUCUCAUGGUCCUGUCAAGCGAGCCUUGAAUUGCAUCAUGACUCAAUAUGAGAAUCCACAAUUGCGUCUUGCCCCUCAAAUUAGCAUACUAAUAUGAUGAGAUGAGAACCCAAGUGUGUUGAUUUUUAUUAUUCGUUGACAAGGAUAGGUUGGAACGAUCCUACUAAACUUAGAUGCAGCUUCCAUGAAACAAAAGACCAGUGAUUUCACCGGCAAUUGCAGUUGGUUCCUGAGUUCUUCCAACUGCUUAUAAUUUGAAUCUAUUCAAUUCCUGAUCGCCAACUUCUUGCAAUUCCUUCCUAGUGUGUUUGGAUAUAGAAAUUAGCAUAUUUAUAUGAUAACAAUGUGGCGUCAAGUUCAACAACUAGAGAUGCCAUAAAAUCAACAAUCACAACAUGAAUUGAGUAAUAGAAAGUAUUGGUUGUAUAUACUCACUGCCUAAACAAAUUAGACGUCCGCCAUAAUGAGAAAUGUAAACUAUUUAUGUAUGCCAAAUACUAGCUCCGCUGGUACCCACUGUAAUUAGAAAUCAAAUUGCAGCUUCACUCUCCAUACAUUCUGUAAUAAAAGGACUCUAAACUAGUUCUGUUGUUUCUUUCCCAGUCAUCUAGUCACGUGAUGAGAUAAGCUAGGACAAUGUAAGAGAGAUACUCAAUUCACAUCUCACAUCACAAAUUCAGGAUGAUUAAGAGAUCAACCACAGCAUUUUGAAUUGCCUCUUGCUUGAAUUUCCCCUUCACUACAUAUAUCCCGCUAUUCCACACAGAAUCAAACACUUGCUGAGCAAACGUUUCUCUCUUUUCUGCUAAUUACAAAUAUAUAACAAGAUCUUGCAGUUACAUUAGUAGCAGAUUCCUAUAUGGCAAGGUGACAAAAAAUGGCUUUUCCAAACUACCUAUAAAUAUAAAUGAGGGGAAGGCCCAGCCUUUUUCCAUAUUGUAAAGCAAGCCAACCAGUAAAAGAUACAUAUGCCACAAACAAACAAGCACGCUUUAAUCGGUUUGCACUAACUGUGCAAGGCAGGUUCCUGGUUGGAUGUGACCGAUGCCGAGAUUUGAUCUGUUGAAAAAGUCUGAUAAAACUCAUUGAUAUUAAGGAGGUUGAGAAACCAGUAACCACCCCAACAAUGGUUUCCCAUUUCCAAUAUUUAGCCCUGAUCUUGCCAGUUACCCAGGAUUUGAAAAUCUCCAAGAACCUGACAAUGCACAGGCCACGUUAAGUAAUAUAGAAACCACAAUGUAAGUAAGAGACAACAAAUGAAUAUGUACAGCGAAAUGUAAUUUAAGGGCAACUUUGAAAGGAGAUGGAAAUGCGGCAUUUGGAAGGUCACAUAAUGGUGAAUAUGAUCUUUUGUGAACCAGAAAAAAUUCAGAUGUUGUAUUCUAAAAGUUCAGUAACAGUUGAUCCGUAAGCAGAUGAGACAGUAAUCUCAAUUGCAUUUGGGCUUCAGAUAAAGAAGAAAUUACAGCACAAUCAGAUGUACAUGGUACAUGGCAAUGUUGGCCUGCAAUGAUUCUUGGGAGUUCUGUAUUAGUGACCAUUUAUUACAGCAUUAUGAUUAGCAGGCAACUCAAAUGAAAAACAGUCACUGGUCAAUUCAAACAGAGAAGAACAGUAUACUUCAAAAUAGUUGCACAGCUGGACUAAGACUGCAAAAGUGAACUAAUUUCAGACAUGCCAAGAUCCUUCAUAUUUUAGAAAGACACUGAACCAAACAGAAUGAAAUAGUGGCAAUUUGACCAUUAUAAACUACGUGAUUAAUGCAAGAUUUUAAAAGUCGGAUUGGACUGGCCAGUUCUACUGAUUGGCCAAGGUUAGAUAUCCAGUCCAGACCACCAAUCCAUGAGUGGUUGAAAUCAGAUUGAACCAAUGUUGACCUCAUUCAACUUAGGCAGCCCUUGCUUGGCAGUUUGCUGAGAGACCACAUUCCACUUUGUUACCAGAACAGACAAGAGACAUUUCAUGCUACACACAAGCCAAGGUAAUAAAUGCAAAUUGCAGUGCUGGACGUGGUUCAAACUACUGCUCAGUAGAUCAUGCAUUGCUUCCAACACUUUCAUCCACCAAGCCAAACUCCCAUGCGGUCAUAACUUAAAGUAUAAAAGAAUAUUAAGAUGGCAGUACCAAGAAACAUCUAAAUGACCAUGACACAAGCCAGUCAGGGUCUGGUUUAAAAUAGUGCAGUUAUUUUCAGCACACAGGAAGUGCCAACCCUUUUGCUGUAACAUUCCUAAUACACAAAAAGGAAAGGAGGCGCAGAAAAGGAAUCGAGUACUCACAAUAUAUAGUAUCUCCUCAUCAUCUCCAUUGCAGAUGGAUCUUUGGCUUGACAACUGAAGAAGUCAUCAUGAUAGAUGCUUACUUUGGAAUUGCUAGAUGCAUACCAGCAGUCAUAAGUAUUAUUCACCUAAAACCAGUGUGAGAAUAAGUAACGAAGUUGUGCAAUCAAAAAACACAUACAAAAGGAACCACAACAAUCCCAAUGAAAUAAACAUAAUAUCAGGAUGAUUACAAAAACCUACAUAUAAUGGUUUGAAUUUAGCUGAUAGCACAAAUGUUAAAAAGGUGCAUUUGUUACCUUAAAUUUAUCUUUGGUCAACCAAGCAACCCCAAAACCAGGUCUGCAAUCAGCAGGAAGGGCCUCGUUUGGGGCCUCUGCAAGUGCUAAUUGAGUCUGACCUGAUAAAUGAUCCUUAUAUUCUACCUGCAAUUGUAAGAAGGUGCAAAAUAGUAAUGUAAAUUCGGCAGUCAGUAAAUGUGGUAGCUUUCUUUUCCUAUAACUGCAAUUGCCAUUCUUUUACCUCUACCUGCAAUUGUAAGAAGGUGCAAAAUAGUAAUGUAAAUUCGGCAGUCAGUAAAUGUGGUAGCUUUCUUUUCCUAUGAUUUUAAUUGCCAUUCUUUUACCUCUUCUGAGUUAAACUAAGAUACUUAGCCUGAUAAAAACAUCUGUAAUCUCUAUCUAUCUAUGCAUGGAGCACAAUUGAUUAAUGACUACAGUAAAAGUUCAUAAACACUCAUAUGCACCAAUUCCCAGGAAUGCCUGAUUUGGAAGAAGCAUAACAAGGCACUUACUCAAGCUAAGAAGAGCCAACAAAUUGCUAUCAGAGUUAAUUCCAAACUAUACAAACCAAAACACCCAAAGUACAGACAUACACAACCCCAACAUAUGUUCAAUCUUAAAUGAACAUCAAAAGGAUCAGAUUAGAACUGAGUGACUGUUUGAAUAAGAAGACUGAACAAAUAGAAACAAACCAGCAAACUAUGUCUGAUGCUUUUGCCAAUUUUGUCAACUAUAUGUUUAGAUCAAGCUGACUUGGUUCAUUUUCACUAUGAUAACAAGUCUCUUUAUUAAAGUAAGAUUGGUGAAACUAGGCAAUUAGUAAAUUAAGUGUCUCUAGAAAUACUAUGGGAAACCGGAUUUAACAUCAAAUGAUUCAACAAUCCAUUCAAGGUACAAUUUAUCAAAUCUAAACACAAGGAGGGCAGUUGCCGAAGACAGGUUUAACCUAAUCAAACAGAUUUUACCACCCCCUUCUCCUCUUCCCACCUUCAUCCAAAUCAUAGAAGAGUUAAACUUUCAAUCUCUUUUUCAUUUUUAUCUAGAAUGAUUCUUUUAACUUUUAUUUAUCUCAAGUGCAGCAAGAAUACUCACUUCCAUGAACAUUUCUAAACAGGUUCAAACUUCAUUGUAUCCAAUGUAUCAACUAACAUGCAAAUGCCUUUUCAGCUUCACAACAGCUCAUAGUAUUCUUACAUUUGAACACUAUUUUUGCAGAAUCAAUACCAGCUCAUUCACAAGGUUCCCCUGUGACUUAAAGAAUGAUAUGGCAUUCAUAAAUAUAUCGGCACGUGACGUUGUUAAAUAAUUGACAAAAUGACAAUGAGCAUAGAGUGAAAUUACUAUAACUAUAUUUCCUUAAUUGACAUUCAUAGCUAAGAAAGACAGUAAAAGGUUGAUUAUGAUAAUAGCACAAAUGACUUAACAAGUAGUUCCUUCGACACAUGCUUGAUUCCUAAUUAGUUGAACCUCCAUAUAAUAAGUGAUGGAAACAUAAGAUUCAUUGCGCACUCAAAUGAAUGAAAAGAUAGCUUCUACUGGUCAUGCACAACAUUAUCCAAUCUAAAACUCAACUUGAAAUGGCAUGGGCACACAGGGGUGUGCAAGCUCCUGCACUCAUGCGCAACAGAGAUGAGUAAAUCCUAGAUAGUACUCUAUAGCAUUACAAAUGUAUGUCAAAUAUUACAGACAUUUUAUCAGGCAGCUGUAUAGACAAUAAGAUUUAGGCUAGAGAAAAAUAUGCAGAUAACUAUGAAAAUUCCGCAGUUCCAGACAAAACAAGGCAACAAUGGAAACACCGAAGCUGAGCCUCAUUGGCCACGAAAGAUAACAGGGAUAACUGAAACUCCCAACAGACAAGAAAUGCACACUAAAAAACGGUAAUUACUCCUCAGAAGACAUAGAAUCACCUUAAAAACUGAAGCCCAAUAGUAAUCAUAAUGGCACCGGAAUUUCCUUUUCUCGGACGAGCUGAAGACAAUCUUGGCGUUAUAAUUCAACAGCCCAAGCUCGCAAACUUUAGACGACCUUAUAUCCACACCUGCAAGAAAAAAUUCAAAACUCAGCAUACGACACUCGAGCGCACAACACGACCGACAGUACGAAAACGAAACUCGCUACGUUUCAUUGAUCAAACGAGUCAUCACAUACUACAUCCUGUCUAUUUAUCAUCAUUAGCUAGCAGCUGAAGUAGCACAAAACGGCCAAGACGGUAACAAUCCACAACUUAGCUCAGCCAACUCGAAUGGUGAAGACCCGAAAGCAUGAGCAAUCAUUCAACGGAACUUACUGCUGGAGACGAUUUUGCACUGAGCAGGCAGCGACAUAGGGCUGGGGAUCGCGAAGUUACUGACGAGGAGGGCGACGACGCCGAUCACGAACGACGAGGAGAAGAAGAAGACGACGGGGAAAAGAAGAGCCAGGAACAAUCGGAGCAGUACGGAGAGAUUCCCGCUCUCGCCCGUCGCCCCGCGAUGAGGCGGCGGCGAGGCCGUGUCGCCGGCGGAGGGAUCCAUAGCUCCCGACGCCUUAUCCGGACGGCCGAUAUCGCGACACUACGCGCGACGGAGAAGCAUGGGGCGAGGAAACCCCGAAGCCCUCUCUGCGUUGGGGCCGACAGAUUUCGGAGGUAGCGAUCGGAGGGAAAGUCUCCGGCCGCCGUGGAACCGAGGGUUUUCCAUUCAUUAUCCCAAUGAUACGUAAUAGAAGAAGAUCUCAAAAGUCAUAAUAACAAACAAGCCCAUAAAAUUCCAAAACAAUCCAAAAAUCUAAAAUCAAUGCGUAUCAUUAGAGCAUGGUUGGCAUAAAUAAUCACAAGCUCAUGGUCUGUUACCGCAUUCAAGCAAAAAGGAUCGGUGGUCUAUCAUAAAAUCACACAAUGUCAUUAGUAAUAAGCACAUGUCAAGAUCUGCAUUCAUAGUUACGACUUUGCUUUUCAACGGCAUACACCUAGAUUCAAUGGUGAACAUCUAGAUUCGGCAUCCCUACACCAUCACCAUAUAAAAACAAAACAUGUUAAAGAAGAUCAGAUUUGACACUUGUGGGAGCAAGUUUUGUAGCCAAUGCAAAGUGCUAUAAGUUAAAUAAGCAUAUAUUUGACAUCAAAACUGUUGUGAACACUAUUUAAACUGGAUGUGGAGUAUUUUAUUCAUUAAAAUUUUAAAAUCUAAAAUUAGAUCAAAGAAAAAAACUCCUAGAUAUAAUAUUAGGAGAGCAAAGCUUUCAAAUCUCAAACUAAAUUUGGGAGAGUAAGGAAAAGGGAAAAAAAAAUAACUAGGAUGGGAGGGAGAGAUCUAGGUCAGAUCCCUCCAUCCCAAGAAGUGGAAGAGAUGAAGAAAGGUUCAGAGUGGGUGGGAGGGAGGGAGGGAGGAGUUUGGGAGAGGAAAAGGCGUUGGUGUCAAUUUUGAUCUAUUCUACUUUAAAGAGAGAAAAUCAAUGGUUAGAAUAUAUCUACUGCUGAUAGAUUGAAAGCCUAAGAAAGAGCAAAGUCGAAGCUUUGCAUUGAGUAGUGCUUCUGUUUGAAGGGUUUCUAGUUGAGUUGGUAAGAGAUUGUAUUAUGAAAAUAUACUUUGUGAAGCUAAAUAUUUUUCGAAACAUAGGCAAGAACCGAUGAUAUCUAGAAGUAAUCAAAUAGAGCAAUGCCAAACCUUGAAAUACUCAUUUUCUAGUUGAUGGUGAAUAUCUCACAUAUGCAUGCAAUGUUAAUUAGGUAGCUGAAGUACCAAAAUGCGCAUAUGCUAUUAGUGAAGAAAAGAUGAGAUUAGUAAUGAGUGGAUUCAAGACAAAGUUAUAGUAAUGUCAAUCUGGGAUGAGAACAAGACUGUUAUGAUGUGUGGAGCAAUGAUUGUAGAUGAGCUAAUAAGAAGAUACUGACUGCUCUAUAAUAAGCCAACAAGGAAAAGAGGAGUAAAAUGGAAGAGGUGGACAUAAAUUUUAUGACAAAUGUUGAGUUUGUAGAUCUUUUCAAGACUCCAUACUAGAAGAGGGUAAAAAAUUGUUAUCCUUUAGAACUUUCAUUUGCCAUUGUUGAGAGAUAUUACAUAAAGUACAAAAACCACAGCAAAAAUAGAACAUAAAUUUUUAUUUGACCGGACAAAUCUCUAAAGCAAGCACUAACUUAAUUUCGAAGGUGAAAUAAUUUCUCUUAUUUUGAGGUCAUUUAUCAACAAAUCAAAUUUUAAUUGGCAUAAGGUAUGUUGAAAGAGUGACGUGUUGAUUGUAUGGAAAGAAAAAUUAGGAUAUUCAUAUGACAUGAACAAUGCAGCCUCAAAAAACUUGAGAUACCAUAGAAUCAACAAUCACAAAAUGAAUUGAGUUUUAGAGAGUAUUAGUUGUAUAUCCACAUUGCCAAAACUUAAAAAAUAAUAGAAUCCCACCAUAAAUAGAAAUAUCAACUAUUUAUGUAUGUGAAAUACUAACUCUACUGGUAGCCCACUCUGAAAUUAGAAAUCAAAUUGCAGCUUUACUCCCCACACAUUCCGCAAUGAAAGGACUCUAAACUUAGUUGUUCUUUUCCUCUCGUCUCGUUACAUAACAAUUUUAGCUAGGACAAUAAGAGGUAUACUCAAUACACAUAUUGCAUUACAAAUCCAGUAUGAUUAAUAGAUAAACAGCUGCAUUUUGAAUUGCCUCUUGCUUUAACUUCGCCUUCAUUACCUAGAUCACGCUAUUCCACACAAAAACCAAACUUUUGGCCCCUCCCAUUUUACUUUGCCAAAAGAACGUCUCUCUCUUUUAUGCUAAGUACAAUAUUCAACAAGAUCCUGCAAUUACAAUAGUAGCAAAAUCUUUAAUGCCAAGGUGACAAAAAACAGCUUUUUCCAAAGUGUCUCUAAGCAUAAAUUACAAUCAAGCCCGGCCUUUUCCCAUAUUAACCAACUAUGGUAACAAAAACAGAGAUCAUGGUGUCUUCACUCUAUGCACUUCUUACUCAUUCGUCCUUCUCAUUUCGAUUCAUACUUCACUUGCUAAGCCACCAUGCCAUCCGGAUGAGAGCUCUGCCUUGAUGGAAUUCAACCAAGUUUCAAAAUCUAUAGAACAUAUUUUCACUGUGUUUAUGCACAGGUUUAUCAGGGUCACAUGGAGAUUGCUGCUCAUGGGAUGGCGUAGAGUGUCACAAUGCCAUUACAAUUGGAUAAUACUUUACAAACUUCCAUGCUUAAAAUAUAUAAAUAUUCAUGACUUCUUAAAGAUGUUAUUUCAAGUAUCACGGCAUUGCAUGGGCUAAAAUGCUAGUGUUGUUAUACAAUAGGAGUGAAGAACAGAAAUAAGAUACUCACGUCGAAAUUAACAUUUGAAGUGAUAAUAAACUAAAAAAGGAAAAAAAAAGAAGAAGAAGAAGAAGAAGAAGAAAAAUGAUGAAUGCCUAUACACAGGAGAUGAAUCUUUUUUUCUCCCCUUCUUUUGGGGAAAAACAUAAUGACAUUAAACAAAACAAAUCAAGCUACAUUGUCUAAUAUAAGUGUGCUCCGAUGCCCUUAAAAACAUUUGGAACAUAGGAUAAAUAACAAAUUUCAAAUGUUGUUCCAUUCCAAGUAGGGCUAAAGUGACUAGCCAACCAGGCUUGUGAGAUUACUUGCGCCCAUUAAGCCAUAAAGCCUAUUCAAAGAGGACUAAAACGAUGUGAACGAGUUGUUAGUCUUUCAAUUUGGUCUUGGUCCAACUCACUCAUUCUUAUAGAGCAGAAUGAAUGAACUAGCAUUGCCUUAGUACUCCCUUUCCAUGACAAUGAUGUACAUUGUAGAUAGUUAAAUCGUAGAUGCAUGGAACUCUCAUGUACGAACUAAGUAAUAAAAUGAUUCAACACAUAGGUGGAUAACUAGAAGACAGAAAUUGUUUAUACCCAAUGUUCAUUCUUUAACUGUUGAGUUAAUCUCAUUGGAUCAUGCCUCGAUGCUUGGUAUUUGUUUGUGCUUUAUGUAAAUUAGGUGAUUCCACUUCUUUGAUUGUGAAUCGAUACCUUCCUCAUAAAAAACCAUUGAAGGUUAAGAAAAUAAAAGGUGUAUCACAAUGAUUAAUGAUAUUAUAAGCAAUGAACGGAAUAAUCACAGAAUUACUUUGGAAAAUUUGAGGCACUAGCUAUACCUAUUGAUCAGAAUGCGCCAUGUAAGUGAAGUCGACGUUGCAUUUCAUCAUUGAGUCCGCGUUCAGCAGAAGACGUCAACCUUACCUUCACUCAAAAGUCGUCUCUCAUGUCUUCCACUCAGUUGAGAACCUGAGAUGACUAGUUCAACUUGCAAGUCAUGCACAUCUUGUCCACGUAAUGUCACCCAAGAUUUGCUAGUAUCCUAUUUGUUCCAGUAUAUCCACGGGUUAAAACCAAAUGGUAGGUUAUAAUAAUUUUUAUGUAGCUGGCUUCUUAAUCAAAAUUUCGGCUUUGCAAAUUGACUUUUGAGUCAACCAACAAACCCCAUAAAAUCAACUUCUAUGUAACAUUUUUUUUUAAAAAAAAAAAUUAGCAAUGAACUAGUAUACAUAUUAGCUUUCGUGCAUCUCGAUAAGUUUAUUUUUCUAAGCGAUCUUGAGGAUGCUCUUCCUUAUAUCAAUUUGGUAUAAUCGGGAUUUUGCUCCUAGGAUGCUCCUAAUAAAACUUGAAUUCAAGAUCAUAAGGAGAAGAGAAAACUUCUAGCAAAAUUUUUCCAACACCUUGGUGGUUAUGUGUAGCAAUUUCAAGUUUACCAACUAGAUCAAAGUACGACAAAGACCAAAAACGUAUUGUACUGAAUAAGGAUAAUGCACUUAACCUUUUUAUAUGAAGCAUGUCGGUUUUUGUUUAUUCAUUUUUGAAAUAUUCGAUAAUUUCAUAAAUUCAUUUUAACUUAGGUUCCAUUGGUAUUCAUGGAAAAUAUAUAAUCUAGAAAAUAUUUUCUUAAAAAUGAUUACUUGUGUUAUUUACAAAACGAAUAAAUAAAAAUAUUUUCAUUGACCAAAAAUAUAUUUAGACAUAAAUUAUUGAUGAUGAUGAAACUAUUUUUCACAAACUAACAAUUUUUAAGCUAUAUAAGAGAUUAUUUUUACAAAAAAAAAAUUCAAAUAAUUCAUUUUACCCGAAAUAAAUGGAGCCUUAGAAUGGUCUCUCUCCUCUUUAAGUUGGAAGUAAUCAUACUCUUUUGCUUGAGUCAAGCUUCAACAUUAGUGAAUAGACCAAUAAAGAAACUUUGAAGGUGUGGAAAUAAAUGCAAACGUAAAUAAUGGGUCGAGUCCAUAGAUACUUCUCAAGUUAGGGCUAAAAAUAUAUCCACUUAGUCACAUAAAGCUUUUGAGUAUUUUGUUGACACCUGAAUUUUAACUACCCUAUUCAAUUCUUUGCCGCAUUGAAAAUAAGAUGUUGACCCCAAUUCCUAAAUAAAAAUUCUACUUGCAUAAUUCACAUUUACAUUUUAUUUAUUUCAUGAACCAUUGCCACAUUGAAAAGAAGAUGUUGACCCCGAUUCCUAAAUAAAAAUUCUACUUGCAUAAUUCACAUUUACAUUUUAUUUAUGUCAUAAACCAUAUCCGAGUCACAUAGCUCUUAGAGGAGGUUAUCAUGAAUGGUUGCGCACCUAAACGAAGUGUUAUAGCCGGCCAUGUAAAAAAAAAAAAAAACAUUACUCUUACAUAUUGUCCUUAGCCAAAUCAAUUUAACACCAACAUCCAAGUCUUAAACAAUGACCAAGCUUUAAGCGAUAACAACAAAUGAAGACAAACCGCAAUAAAUUAGUGGGGCAACUUGCUAGUUUUUUGGUUAGAUGUAACAUUAAAGUCCCACAAAAUUCAAUUUUGAUUGGCCCGCAAUAAAACCGCUUUUAUGAUAGUUGGCCAAAUCAAUGUUUGCGCAACUAACCUUGAGAAGUCAAUACUUGUCAUUAACUCUUCCCUCGAUCAAUGAAACCUUUUCAAGACAAGAACAGUUGAUUUCCAUUACUGCUUUGACUUACUUGAAUAGAUAUUUCCAUUGGCCGCCAGUGCAACUGCCAGUCAUCACUAUUAACAAAAGAACGGACAACACUGAUAGGUCUCAGCCUCCAAUUCCCAAAAUCCAGUUUUAAUUAGCAAAAUCCAUCAGCAAAAUAAUAGAAAGAAUUGUUUUUCUUCAAAUUACUAAUAUGUCUUUGAUGUUGAUCUACCCAAAUAUCUCUGGGAGAUUUUCGUUUGAAAAAUGUUAAAAGAGUACCCCUAAGGUACUCGUCAAUAGUCAUUAGUUGUGCUUCGGUAAUAUUAACAUUACAAUAUGUUCGUAAUGGAUGUGGUCAAAAUGCACACUCAAAGCCUAGCUAAAUUAUACUAUAGUCUUCAACACUAUCAAAGUGAUGAGCCUCACAAAAAAAUUUCCACAAAUUCCAUUUCCAACAGCAGUCUAAUAUCUGCAUGGGGAGAGACGUCAAGGGAAAAAAAUAAUUCGAACUCACGGGAAAAAAAAAAAGAAAAACAAGGUCGUCUGAAAAUUGACUGCGUUAACUAGUCAUUAAAAACAUGCUUUUAACCAAAAAAUGAACCGGCCUCACUACUUAUCUUCCUUCUCGGCCUCAGCGGCCUUUAACAUCCUCACGCCCACGUGACGUUUGUUCAUGCGCUCCACUCGCAGCUUUCAUAUGCGUUGAAUGAUUUCAUCUCAUCUGUGACCUCCACAAGUUCCACCGCUGGCUUCUCUCUUACAAUGGGCAGGUAAGUUCCUUGGACUUGAGUUGCAUUUGCAAGCUCUUCUGGAGUAGAAUUACCAGCCUGCAUGGAGAAGGAAGAUGAGAUGCUUUCAACGAGAAGAAGGAUCGCACAAUAUUGAUAUGAAUUUUGUAAGUAGUCAAUUAACCUUGAAUUUCCGUGCACAUUUCGGGAAGACGACUAGCUUCGCCCUGUAUGUCUUCAGCCUCUGCACAUUAGCAUGUAGACCUUCCAGUGACUGAUUCUUGCGGCGAUGAUCAACCGCAAUUCCAAUUGUUGGAGGUAAUUUCUUCGGGAUACCUGCUGCCUGAGACGUGCAAAAUGCAUGUUAAGCACGAGGCUUGCACCGGAUGCUGAAAACUGUAAAAGGAUAUCCUUGAAGGAAAGAGCAAUCAGGGAAAGGCGUUUUCGUUAUCAUAAAAAUACUAGCUCUAGUAAUUCCAAACCUUUGUGGAAAAAAGCAUGUUUAGUAAAAAUGAAAACAUGCCAACUUAACAGACAGAAUCUGGAUGAAACAGUGAAAAGGCUAAAAAAAGAAGUGCCACGUUCCAUUUAAAGAGCUAAAUGAAGCGAAGGACGCAAGUCUACUUGGAACCUGCCACUCCAAUAGCCAAAUGUGACUUUGACCACAGCUAGGAGUAAUAUACCAGUAACACAACACGGGCAUUAACAAUGCUUCAUAUGCAAAAAAGUGGUGAAAAUAAUGCUGGUGGUCUGAGGGGACCUGCUGUUGGCCGUGGGAAAAUCUUCACAGCCUUCUUUUGCUGAGCUGGGCACGAAAUAAAGAGCAUCAGAAUGCUCUGAUAAUAAGAAUGACAACCAAUGAUUUCACUUCGAUAGCUAGGUAAGUAGUUCAAUUACCUAGGCGUCUUCUAGCCUUUCUCGCAGGCUGGUUAAAACAGGUCUUGAUGUAAUUUUGCCAGUGCUUUCUGAAGUGCCCAUUUGGCACGACAUUGUUAUGUUUAACCAUGACUUACCUAAAAAGGAAAAUAAAGACAAAGCUUUUAAGGUUAAGAUGGCUCUGAGAUGUGGAUAUAUCUUAUCAGC